GUUCAGCUGACGAGUCCCAAAUAGAACGAAAUGCACGUUCUAGAU
rnacentral:hammerhead_ribozyme from 1 species